GGGGACCAUCCUCCAAGGCUAAAUACUCCUGACUGACCGAUAGUGAACCAGUACCGUGAGGGAAAGGCGAAAAGAACCCCGGCGAGGGGAGUGAAAAAGAACCUGAAACCGUGUACGUACAAGCAGUGGGAGCCUCUUAAUGGGGUGACUGCGUACCUUUUGUAUAAUGGGUCAGCGACUUAUAUUCUGUAGCAAGGUUAACCGAAUAGGGGAGCCGAAGGGAAACCGAGUCUUAACUGGGCGUUAAGUUGCAGGGUAUAGACCCGAAACCCGGUGAUCUAGCCAUGGGCAGGUUGAAGGUUGGGUAACACUAACUGGAGGACCGAACCGACUAAUGUUGAAAAAUUAGCGGAUGACUUGUGGCUGGGGGUGAAAGGCCAAUCAAACCGGGAGAUAGCUGGUUCUCCCCGAAAGCUAUUUAGGUAGCGCCUCGUGAAUUCAUCUCCGGGGGUAGAGCACUGUUUCGGCAAGGGGGUCAUCCCGACUUACCAACCCGAUGCAAACUGCGAAUACCGGAGAAUGUUAUCACGGGAGACACACGGCGGGUGCUAACGUCCGUCGUGAAGAGGGAAACAACCCAGACCGCCAGCUAAGGUCCCAAAGUCAUGGUUAAGUGGGAAACGAUGUGGGAAGGCCCAGACAGCCAGGAUGUUGGCUUAGAAGCAGCCAUCAUUUAAAGAAAGCGUAAUAGCUCACUGGUCGAGUCGGCCUGCGCGGAAGAUGUAACGGGGCUAAACCAUGCACCGAAGCUGCGGCAGCGACACUAUGUGUUGUUGGGUAGGGGAGCGUUCUGUAAGCCUGUGAAGGUGGCCUGUGAGGGUUGCUGGAGGUAUCAGAAGUGCGAAUGCUGACAUAAGUAACGAUAAAGCGGGUGAAAAGCCCGCUCGCCGGAAGACCAAGGGUUCCUGUCCAACGUUAAUCGGGGCAGGGUGAGUCGACCCCUAAGGCGAGGCCGAAAGGCGUAGUCGAUGGGAAACAGGUUAAUAUUCCUGUACUUGGUGUUACUGCGAAGGGGGGACGGAGAAGGCUAUGUUGGCCGGGCGACGGUUGUCCCGGUUUAAGCGUGUAGGCUGGU
rnacentral:rRNA from 1 species